rnacentral:rRNA from 1 species
UACGAAGGGGGCGAGCGUCAUUCGGAAUCACUGGGCGUAAAGCGUGCGUAGGCUGUUUUGUAAGUUGGAAGUGAAAGCCCAGGGCUUAACCCUGGAAUUGCUUUCAAAACUACAAGACUCGAAUCUCGGAGAGGAUAGCGGAAUUGUCAGUGUAGCAGUGAAAUGCGUAGAUAUUGACAGGAACACCAGUGGCGCAAGCGGCUAUCUGGACGAGUAUUGACGCUGAGGCACGAAAGCGUGGGGAUCAAACAGG